UUUUAUACAUAUUUUUUCCAUAAUUCCGAGCAUUCUCUAAUAAUUCAACUGUUUAUUUUAAGACAUGGACAUGGUAUGGAUAACGUGUAUUCUAAUAUUGGAAUAGCAUAACGACGACGCACAAUUGAUAAUCAGAAUAAGUCCGCACGUUAAUUACCCUCGUAGUCGUAUAAUUCAUUUUGUUUUUUUUCUUUUUCUUAUUCUGUUUUCCCUGUCCAAUGUAAGACAUAUUGAUUUUGUACUUUAAGUCAUGGACUCAUCACGGUCAUGCCUUAAUUUCGAAUUAGGAAUAAGUUUUGGCCAAAAAAACAGCAUAAC
rnacentral:lncRNA from 1 species